rnacentral:ncRNA from 2 species
GAAAACCGCCAGGGGUAUCCCCGAUGUCUCGGGAUUGAGAUCAGACCCUUGGAACCUGACCCGGUUCAAACCGGCGGAGGGAGGCGGCAAUGUCAGACU